AUCUGGAUAGCUCAGCUGGAUGAGUAACAGGCUUUUAAUCUGAGGGUCCAGGACUCAUGCCCCUGUUCAGGUG
rfam:Fulmarus glacialis contig31705, whole genome shotgun sequence.